rnacentral:lncRNA from 1 species
GUACCUCAUGUUCAUAAAGAUUUCUAAAUUGAGCGAGAAUCAAUACAACCUGCAAAAUAUUUUUAAAAUCUCGUUCAAACUUAAAUCGCAUUAGUACAAUAUCAUUCAAACAUAGCAAACAACAAUUUCUAAUUUUAAUAAUACCUUUGUUACUGAAAUUUUUCAAGCUUGAAAAUACCAAUAAUGAUCCAAUUUUGAGAAGCUGAAUCUUCAAUAUUUUACAUCCAUCUUCAGAUUACAUGGUUGUAAGUAUUACAUUACAAAAACUCACUCAACCUUUCCAAGCCAUCGUAAAUAAAUAUACAUAAAAGAACUCAUUCACAAUCCAUAUCACAAAAUAAUUCUUGGUAGUUUAUUCAAUAACCACCAACGAACCAUCACAUUCAAAGCAAGACCAAUCAAAAAAACUAUUAUAUUCCAAACAAAGUUUACAUAUAUUACAUAUUUAUUAUUAUAAUAUAAUAAUAAUAUAAUAUAAUAUAAUUUUGGUAAUGUAAUAUAAUAUAACCUCCUUAAUAUAAUAUAUAAUAUAAUAGUAUAAGAUACUCAUGUAUAUUAUGUAUAAUAUAUAAUAGAAAUAUGUAUAUAUAUGUAUAUUAUGUAUAGUAUAUUAUAGAUAAUAUUAUAAAAUACAUAUACAUUUUAUCUAUGUUACUUAUAUAAUAUAAUAUAAUAUAAUAUAAUAUUAUUAUAAUAUAAUAGUAUAAUAUACUCAUGUAUAUUAUGUAUAAUAUAUAAUAGAUAAUAUAAUAUAAUACAUAUAUAUACAUUAUCUAUAUUACAUAUAUAAUAUAAUAAUAUAAUAAUAUAAUAAUAUGAUAUGAUAUGAUAUGAUAUGAUAUGUUAUGAUAUGAUAUCUUAUGUUAUGUUAUGAUAUGAUAUGAUAUGUUAUGAUACGAUAUGAUAUGAUAUGAUAUGAUAUGAUACGUUAUGAUAUGAUAUGAUAUGUUAUGUUAUGUUAUGAUAUGAUAUACCACCUCCUUAAUAUAAUAUAUAAUACAAAAAUAUAAUAUAAUUAUACCACUUCCUUAACUCUCUUACUCCUAUACCUAAGUACACCCCUCUAUUUUUCUUCCUAAAUUUAUCACAAAAUAUAAACCUCACUACAUUCUUACGUCCCUCCUCUGUCCAAGAAGGUUGCAACUCAUGUUAAACCUGUGUUCUCAAACAGAAAAUUAAGUUAAAAAAAUAAGAAUAAAAAACAAAAUAUACCGAUAAAUAGUACCUCAUGUUCGUAAAGAUUUCUAAAUUGAGCGAGAAUCAAUACAACCUGCAAAAUAUUUUUAAAAUCUCGUUCAAACUUAAAUCGCAUUAGUACAAUAUCAUUCAAACAUAGCAAACAACAAUUUCUAAUUUUAAUAAUACCUUUGUUACUGAAAUUUUUCAAGCUUGAAAAUACCAAUAUUGAUCCAAUUUUGAGAAGCUGAAUCUUCAAUAUUUUACAUCCAUCUUCAGAUUACAUUAUAAAAUACAUAUACAUUAUCUAUGUUACUUAUAUAAUAAUAUAAUAUAAUAUAAAUUAAUAUAAUUUUAUUCAUGUAAUAUAAUAUAACCUCCUUAAUAUAAUAUAUAAUAUAAUAAUAUAAUAGUAUAUACUCAUGUAUAUUAUGUAUAAUAUAUAAUAGAAAUAUGUAUGUAUAUAUAUAUAUGUGUGUAUAUUAUGUAUAGUAAAUACAUAUACAUUAUCUAUGUUACUUAUAUAAUAAUAUAAUAUAAUAAUAUUAUAAUAUAAUAUAAUAUAAUUUUAGUAAUGUAAUAUAAUAUAAUAACCUCCUUAAUAUAAUAUAUAAUAUAAUAAUAUAAAAGUAUAAGAUACUCAUGUAUAUUAUGUAUUAUUAUAAUAGAAAUAUGUAUAUAUAUGUAUAUUAUGUAUAGUAUAUUAUAAAUAAUAUUAUAAAAUACAUAUACAUUAUCUAUGUUACUUAUAUAAUAUAAUACAAUAAUAUUAUAAUAUAAUAGUAUAAUAUACUCAUGUAUAUUAUGUAUAAUAUAUAAUAGAUAAUAUAAUAUAAUACAUAUAUAGAGAUGUACAUUAUCUAUAUUACAUAUAUAAUAAUAUGAUAUGAUAUCUUAUGUUAUGAUAUGAUAUGAUAUGUUAUGAUACGUUAUGAUAUGAUAUAAUAUGAUAUGUUAUGUGAUAUGAUAUGAUAUGAUAUGUUAUAUUAUGUUAUGUUAUGAUAUGAUAUACCACCUCCUUAAUAUAAUAAAUAAUAUAAAAAUAUAAUAUAAUUAUACCACUUCCUUAAAUAUUUGAAACCUAUAAAAUUAGCUCUCUUACUCUUAUUAUACCUAAUUACACCCCUCUAUUUUUCUUCCUAAAUUUAUCACAAAAUCUAAACCUCACUACAUUCUUAUGUCCCUCCUCUGUCCAAGAAGGUUGCAACUCUUGUUAAACAUGUGUUCUUAAACAGAAAAUUAAGUUAAAAAAAUAAGAAUAAAAAACAAAAUAUACCGAUAAAUAGUACCUCAUGUUCGUAAAAAUUUCUAAAUUGAGCAAGCCUGCUAAGAAUCAAUACAACCUGCAAAAUAUUUUUAAAAUCGUGUUCAAACUUAAAUCGCAUUAGUACAAUAUCAUUCAAACAUAGCAAACAACAAUUUCUAAUUUUAAUAAUACCUUUGUUACUGAAAUUUCUUCAAGCUUGAAAAUACCAAUAUUGAUCCAAUUUUGAGAAGCUGAAUCUUCAAUAUUUUACCUCCAUCUUCAGAUUACAUGGUUGUAUAAGUUGUACAUUAUAAAAACUCACUCAAUCUUUCCAAGCCACAGUAAAUAAAUAUACAUAAAAGAACUCAUUCACAAUCCAUAUCACAAAAAGUUUAAAUUAUAAUUCUUGGUAGUUUAUUCAAUAACCACCAACAAAACAUCACAUUCAAAG